rnacentral:lncRNA from 1 species
AAGAAAAGAAGGAAGGAAAGAAGGAAGGAAAAUGAAGAGCGUGAGAGAGCUCCUUCAAGCUACUCUCCCUCAAACCCACGAAAUCCAUUUUGUACUAUCCAUAUACUCAUGGAUGUGGAUCCAUUCGCUGGAGUAUGGUGGGCAUAACAGGGUCUGUAUUGUAUUCUUAAAGAAAACCAAUUCUCCCUCCCCUCAAAGCCAUCAAUAUUCCAUACCUCCUUAAUUACACAUAGGGAUUUAUGAGUCCUUCUAUGUUGGAAUGUUAAUGGGUUUGAUCUUGUGCAGGUCUUUUGAAGAUAACCAUAGGUUCUGUGACUUCAUGAAUAUGGGGGAUCUGUCACAUUCAAAACACAGCACUCCCUGUCCUCUGCAACCACCCAUUGGCUCUCAGCCCUCACCAGGGCUAUUUAUUUGUACAGGCAAUGGCAGGUAGCAAAGAAACUAACAACUGAUUAAAGAGCGGAGAAUAAGUGUCAGUUGAAUCCUCAGCCACAAGUGGGAUCUCUCUCUCUCUCUCUCUCUCUCUCUCUCUCUCUCACACACACACACACACACACACACACACACACACACACACACUCACACACAAACGCACAGAACUGAGUUAAGUAGAUUACAAGGUUGAAACCAGCCAUGGCUACAGAGUUAUACCAUGUCACAGUCUUAUUUUUUUAAGUAUAGCCAUCAAUUCUACUUAAAAGUUUCAUAGGCC